rnacentral:lncRNA from 1 species
AUUUUGCUGGAUAUCUCUUUGUCCCUUAGGCUUUCUGAAGGCGUUCUGUGAUGCAGCAUUAUACCACGGUGAAUGGGAAUAAAGAAAACAACAAUCUCCAGGCUCACAGGAGAUGGCAGGAGCUCCCAGCAGGGAGGAAGAGGUGUAAGCACACAGUGUCAGCCUCGUGCUUCUCUUCCCAGGUCCAAUGAGGACUGAAGCAAGCACAGGCAAUGCUGAUGCAGUGGGGAAUUCAGCUCCCACGCACCGGAAGGUUUGGAAGCAUCAAGCUCUAUUUUAACACUAAGUGCAUUACAGCAAAAGCCAAUUCAAUAUUAAGAAUAAGUGCUUUGUAGUGUAUAUACCUUUCAAUACACUUCAUAAUGACCUAGAAGAUGAAUUGAACGAUGAGGUGGUGAAACUAAGCAAGAACCCAUGGAAGACUGCGAGGAUAUCUGGAAGGAUUUAAUAAAGCUGGAUGAUAAAUACAUGGAAAUCAUGCAAAUGCACUGGGGGGGGGAAGUAGUUGCUCAUGUGUACUGAUGAAUUCUGAAUUAGCUGCAACUUCUCAAAUGAAAAGACUUGGUGUUGUGGGUAGCACAAGGCCUAAUAUCUGAUGCAGAAGAAAGCAGUGAGAGCCUGGAGCACAUUAAUAAUAGGUGGAAGACUGAAUUUUGCCCAGUGCAUCUUCCUGAAGCCACUAAAAUAUAACAAAUGUUGCAUUUAAUUCAAGUAAGAGAAAUUGCUCAUGACUAAACUUCCUAAGAUUAGUACCAGUUUCACAACCUAAAUGGGUAGCGAGUUGGGCUGGUCACAGUAGAAAACCUCUUUAGUAACUUAGAGAAAAGAAUAGCCAUUGGGAAAAUUGUUUAGUAGAGAUUUUUUGUCUUCAUUGCCAAAAUCAGUUAUGAUUUGGUCCCCUUGCAUUAGAGGGGGAAAAAAGUGUGUGAAACUAUCCUUUAUGUUGACUGGAGAAGAAUCAACCCCAAAGUUUCUGUUUAUGUACAUGUAUGUAAAGAGAGCAGGAAGGCUGGCCUCAGUAAGAGAUUAAAAUGAAAGGAUUAAAAUGCCAUUGGACAGAAAUAAGUAUGAAUUCAUGGGUUUCAAAUGCAUGAAUGAUAAUAAUGGAGUGUUUACCUCUGUUGCCUAGGAAAACCAUGCAUGUUUACUGUAUCAAUGUUUGCAUCUUAAAUUCAUUUAUGAUGCUGUGCCAUUCUGUUUUAUAACAGUUGAUGAUAUUUAUCUUUGAGAUGAAAGCUUUGCCCUGCAGAGACUCACCAUCAGACACUAUUUAGUACUUGCAGAACAUGAGACUUGGAGCAGGUGUGGCUGCUUUUUGGGUGUCACUCCUGCAAUCAAGUGGAGACAAACGUGACUGUGUCUCAGAGGCAGUACCUGCAGUGCUGGUUGGGAGCAGUAACCAGAAGCUAGAAGGGGAAUGUGUGCCUUUUGGGCACCAAAAUAGUUCAUUAUAACUUUGACUCUUCAUAAAUAUAGGUGUGGAAUUCACCUCUGUGCAAAGGAUUAGCCAAGACUCCUCACAGGAGCAAAAUUCACCCUGAAGCAGUGUGUCAUUAAGCUGUAGAACUAAAAAUAUAUCACAGAACCGUAAUGAAUUUAGGCUUUCCCUGUAGGUAAGAGUAUACUACUGCCCUGGUGCAGAUAGGUUAAUUAUUAUUUAGUGGGGUAAUUGUCAUCUGAAAGGUCAUAUUUCAUAGCACAAAGAAACCUUGGAAAUGAAACUAAGAUUCCUUACUCCCAAUAUUUGUUUCUACAUAAUAUGUAUUUGUUGUUCUGGUUUUGGUACUGGAGUAAAAGUAUUUGGUGUACAAGGAUGAAUAUUGUUGGGUGCGUGCUGCAUGGACACACCUUUAGAGUAUUUCCAGUAGCAACAACCGGACAGGCACUUUGUAUUUGUUUCACUUUCAGGAUGCUUGGCUUGUCUUUAACAGCCAUCUAUUUGUUUAAAAAAAAACAAAACCUCUCUUUGAAGCAAAAAAAAUACUAUUUUCAGAUAGAGGGUCUAAAUGUCACGUUUUGAAAGCAGCACAUUCUGAAUUCUUUCUCCCCACUUCUGGCAGAACUGCUUCAGUCACUCGUGCCAAAACUGUGUGUUACAGCAAAUUUAUUAGAUGUUAAAAACUGAUAUUAGCCCAAUUUUAGCUUGCACUGAAAUAACAGAGGUUCCCCAGCUUUCUCUUUCUGGUUAUUUGUUUGGUAUCCUGAGCUCCCUACUACUGCCCAGACAGCUCUACUCAAGAAGUGAAGUCCCAGUGAAACAAGUUAUGUCUUGUCUAAUCACUGAGAUAAUAAUGUAUAUGAAGGCCUUUGUAAAUGUCUGUAUGUGCUAUACAGUAGAUAUGCUGGUUCUUUGGGAAGCUAAAAACCAUGUUCUUCCAGGACCAAUGAGAACUGGUCCAAAGAUGCUGGAUCUCAGUAGCCAGGUGGCCCGUGGCCUCUGGCUUGGGCUCUUUGCACCUCUUGAUCAUGAGCUGUCUAGAGAUGUCUGUGAAAUAAAGUUUGU